GAUGAACGCUGGCGGCGUGCCUAAUACAUGCAAGUCGAGCGAACAGACGAGGAGCUUGCUCCUCUGACGUUAGCGGCGGACGGGUGAGUAACACGUGGAUAACCUACCUAUAAGACUGGGAUAACUUCGGGAAACCGGAGCUAAUACCGGAUAAUAUAUUGAACCGCAUGGUUCAAUAGUGAAAGACGGUUUUGCUGUCACUUAUAGAUUGAUCCGCGCCGCAUUAGCUAGUUGGUAAGGUAACGGCUUACCAAGGCAACGAUGCGUAGCCGACCUGAGAGGGUGAUCGGCCACACAGGAACUGAGACACGGUCCAGACUCCUACGGGAGGCAGCAGUAGGGAAUCUUCCGCAAUGGGCGAAAGCCUGACGGAGCAACGCCGCGUGAGUGAUGAAGGUCUUCGGAUCGUAAAACUCUGUUAUUAGGGAAGAACAAAUGUGUAAGUAACUAUGCACGUCUUGACGGUACCUAGUCAGAAAGCCACGGCUAACUACGU
rnacentral:rRNA from 1 species